CUUUGGGAUAACCCUCGGAAACGGGGGCUAAUACCGAAUAUUACCUUGCAUCGCAUGGUGUUUGGUGGAAAGUUUUUCGGCUUGGGAUGGGCUCGCGGCCUAUCAGCUUGUUGGUGGGGUGAUGGCCUACCAAGGCGACGACGGGUAGCCGGCCUGAGAGGGCGACCGGCCACACUGGGACUGAGACACGGCCCAGACUCCUACGGGAGGCAGCAGUGGGGAAUAUUGCACAAUGGGCGGAAGCCUGAUGCAGCGACGCCGCGUGAGGGAUGACGGCCUUCGGGUUGUAAACCUCUUUCAGCUCCGACGAAGCGAGAGUGACGGUAGGAGCAGAAGAAGCGCCGGCCAACUACGUGCCAGCAGCCGCGGUAAGACGUAGGGCGCGAGCGUUGUCCGGAUUUAUUGGGCGUAAAGAGCUCGUAGGCGGCUUGUCGCGUCGACUGUGAAAACCCGCGGCUCAACUGCGGGCCUGCAGUCGAUACGGGCAGGCUAGAGUUCGGUAGGGGAGACUGGAAUUCCUGGUGUAGCGGUGAAAUGCGCAGAUAUCAGGAGGAACACCGGUGGCGAAGGCGGGUCUCUGGGCCGAUACUGACGCUGAGGAGCGAAAGCGUGGGGAGCGAACAGGAUUAGAUACCCUGGUAGUCCACGCUGUAAACGUUGGGCGC
rnacentral:rRNA from 1 species